AAACAGAAGAAACACCCAUUGAAGGUCCACUCUCUAACGAUGAGUGUUCAGUAACGGGUAGAAAUAUUUUCAUAGGAUUUUUUGUUGUUCUAAUAGUGGCACAAGUUAUGGAAUGUGUAAUAGGUUUUGUCCUUUUUCGAAAAGGUAGACUUGUGUUUACAAAACAAAGGUCGUACGAAGACGUCAAACGGAACCAUAUCGAAGGACAGGCAUACAAUACAAUGAACAAAGGAACAAACGAAACAACCAUGGAACAGAUAUAUGAUGAUGUUAAAUACUGAUUACCUAGUACAUUAUGUCAUUACAUAAUUGCAAGUAAAGAGGCAGUACCAGAAUAUAAGAACUAAAACAAGGAAUAUCACAGUCAAAUUGUUAUAAAAAUAUUUCUUUUCUUACCAAUGUUUUCAUAUAUCAUAAAUUUUGUUUUAGGCUGCAGGGGUAAUAUAUAUACUUCUUGUUAUUCUCAUAUUGUGAACAUCAUAUCGUAUCUAUAUUUUGAAUAUAACAGUUAAAAAAAUUACGAAAGCGCAAUUAGGCAAGUCUAUACACCAACAAAAUCAGUAUGCCAACAGCGAAUACAAAACUUCAUAUUUAGGUGUAGUACGAACUUCAAUCAGAACAUUGAGUAACAUUGGGGGUUCAUAGAAGGGCACAUCUGCAUUUUUUCAUGCAGUAUUCAUUGUAUAAAAAGUUAAAUCACAAAAAUACUGAAUUCCGAGGAAAAUUCAAAACGGAAAGUCCAUUCAAAUGCAGUGGUCAUAG